GUCGAGCGAGAAAGCUCCUUCGGGAGUGAGUACAGCGGCGAACGGGUGAGUAACACGUGGGCAACCUGCCCUAAGGAGCGGGACAACCCGGGGAAACUCGGGCUAAUACCGCAUGACUCGUCACGGCAUAAGCCGUGGCGGUAAAAGGUAGCUUCGGCCUCCGCCUUGGGAUGGGCCCGCGGCGCAUUAGCUUGUUGGUGGGGUAAUGGCCUACCAAGCCGACGAUCCAUAGCUGGUUUGAGAGGAUGAUCAGCCACACUGGGACUGAGACACGGCCCAGACUCCUACGGGAGGCAGCAGUGGGGAAUCUUAGACAAUGGGGGAAACCCUGAUCUAGCCAUGCCGCGUGAUCGAUGAAGGCCUUAGGGUUGUAAAGAUCUUUCAGUGGGGAAGAUAAUGACUGUACCCACAGAAGAAGCCCCGGCUAACUCCGUGCCAGCCGCCGCGGUAAAAC
rnacentral:rRNA from 1 species